rnacentral:pre_miRNA from 15 species
UGUCUGCUGUACUAUGCGGGGACCCCCUCUACUCUAACACGGCGGCACUUGCUGUGGCUUUUUGGAAAUUAAGUGCUUCCAUGUUUGAGUGUGGUGAAUCCUAACUUUAUUUUCAAUACACC